rnacentral:rRNA from 1 species
UACGUAGGGUGCGAGCGUUAAUCGGAAUUACUGGGCGUAAAGCGUGCGCAGGCGGUUGGCAAAGUCAGCUGUGAAAGCCCCGGGCUCAACCUGGGAAUGGCGGUUGAAACUGGCGAACUUGAAUCUGGCAGAGGGGGGUGGAAUUCCACGUGUAGCAGUGAAAUGCGUAGAGAUGUGGAGGAACACCGAUGGCGAAGGCAGCCCCCUGGGCUGAGAUUGACGCUCAGGCACGAAAGCGUGGGGAGCAAACAGG